rnacentral:rRNA from 1 species
UAGUCCUGGCUGUAAACGAUGAACACUUGGUGUGGGGGGUGAUGAAAGUCCCUCUGUGCCGUAGAGAACUCGAUAAGUGUUCCGCCUGGGGAGUACGGCCGCAAGGCUGAAACUCAAAGGAAUCGACGGGGGGCCCGCACAAGCGGUGGAGCAUGUGGUUUAAUUCGACGCAACGCGAAGAACCUUACCGGGGUUUGAACUGUACGUGAACUUCCUAGAGAUGGGGAGGAACCCUUCGGGGACAGGUACAGAGGUGCUGCAUGGCUGUCGUCAGCUCGUGUCGUGAGAUGUUGGGUUAAGUCCCGCAACGAGCGCAACCCUUGUCUGUAGUUGCCAUCAGGUGAAGCUGGGCACUCUACGGAGACUGUCGGCGAGAAGCCGGAGGAAGGUGGGGAUGACGUCAAGUCCUCAUGGCCUUUAU